rnacentral:rRNA from 1 species
UAGGGAAUCUUCCACAAUGGACGCAAGUCUGAUGGAGCAACGCCGCGUGAGUGAAGAAGGUUUUCGGAUCGUAAAGCUCUGUUGUUGGUGAAGAAGGAUAGAGGUAGUAACUGGCCUUUAUUUGACGGUAAUCAACCAGAAAGUUACGGCUAACUACGUGCCAGCAGCCGCGGUAAUACGUAGGUGGCAAGCGUUGUCCGGAUUUAUUGGGCGUAAAGCGAGCGCAGGCGGAAGAAUAAGUAUGAUGUGAAAGCCCUCGGCUUAACCGAGGAACUGCAUCGGAAACUGUUUUUCUUGAGUGCAGAAGAGGAGAGUGGAAUUCCAUGUGUAGCGGUGGAAUGCGUAGAUAUAUGAAAGAACACCAGUGGCGAAGGCGACUCUCUGGUCUGCAACUGACGCUGAGGCUCGAAAGCAUGGGUAGCGAACAGG